AUGUGUGCUAGCAAACGAGAAGGAGGAAUGGGUUUUCGCGAUCCUGAUGCUUUCAACCAAGCUUUGUUGGCUAAGCAGGCUUGGCGCAUCUUGCAAGUCCCAUCCUCCCUGUGUGCAAGAGUGCUUAGGGCACGCUACUUCUCUGAUAGUUCGAUAAUGUCCGCUACUUGCCCAUCAUCCGGCUCAUAUACGUUCCAGAGCAUUUUACACAGAAGGGAUUUGCUAAGAGAAGGACUGGUCUGGAGGAUAGGAGAUGGCGUGAAAAAUUAA
rnacentral:rRNA from 1 species